UGACUACUCUAACGUAGAUGUCAUUUAACACAGUGCUAACCACAGGCCCCACAGCAGUUCAUCCUCUGUCUGCUACCUUUGAACCCCCCCCCCCCCCCCAAUUAUUACUUAAGCUGUCAUUUCUGUAUCGUAACACAGAAAGAGGAUUAUCUUUCCUUCAGUUUGGCACACGUGCGUGACGUUUUCCUUCCUUCCUCUCUCUUCCUGAUGUGUUUUCAUGAUGCAGGUGGUCCGGUUUUAAGGAUGCAAUGAGGAUGAGGCAGAAAUAAAAAAAAAAAAAAAAAUUCAAACAGAUGACUAAGUAAAAAGUCUGCGUACAUUAGAGGUUUUGCGUGGCAGCAGUGUGAAGGAACCAAAUGUAUUGUUAUAUAAGUCAGUGGGCUGCGAUGCCUGUGUGUGUUUGCGUGCUAGAUCCAAGGCAGAGAGGAGCGCGUGAGGCGGCUGGACCAGAAUGUGGCUGCGCUGCGAGCCUCCCAGGACUCCCUGAAGAGAACGCUGGCCGUGAAGGAGAAGCACACGCGGCAGCUGCUCCGCGACAACGCACAGCUCCGCGAGAGCCUGGCGACGCUGCGGAGCCAAAGGGUUGGCUCAUCGCGCAGGAGCCAUGUUCAUAAGAAGUCCAUGAGUGGAGGAGGGGCUAAACAGAGUUGGUUUCUUUAUUCUGCCUUUCGUUAUUUUUAUUUACAUCAUUCUUUUUUUUUCGCAUUCUUCGCCUGUUUUCCUCACGUCCCACUCGUCCAGUAUCACCUUCAACUCAACGAGAACCAUCGUCGCAAAAGAGCGAAUGCACGUUGAGCCACAUCAGCGAAGCCCUGGAUCAGAGCAAAAGCUGUCUAGAGGCGGAAAGACGGCAGAGGCAGCAGAUCCAGGACCAGCUGCACCACAGCAGCACAGAGGUAGAGCGACUUCAGAAGGAGCUGGCAAUGGUGCAUCACGCAACUGAAAAAAAGAUACAAAAGAGAGAACUCAAGAUUUGUGCUCUGGCGAAGGAGCUCACGGAGAGUAAGCAGCAUCGCUCUGAAUGUCAGGAAGAGUUGUUCAAGAAGGAGAAGGAUCUGGAGAAAGGGUGCGAGGAGAGGGACGAGCUGAGGGUCCAGCUGGAGGCCCAGAGCCGAGAGUGUGUCCUCCUCAUCCAGACCAGAGAGAGGCUGGAGGCAGACCUGGCUCUGAGCCGCGAGAGGGUCCACACCUCGCGCCUGGAGGUUCGAAGCAGAGAUCAGUUCAUCGUGCAGCUACGAGCCGAGGUGACGGCCGCUGAGCAAAAGCACUGGGCCGCGCAGGAGCAGGUGGCAUCACUGGAGGAUGAGGUAAGGCAUUUGAACCGCGAUGUCAGAGGACGCCAGGAAGAGGCCUCUCAGCUAAGCAGAAAAAUCAGAGAUAUCGAGCAGCUCAAGGAGCAGAAGGAGAAAGAGCAACAGGAGCUGCACGAUCAGCUUCGUAUUAGUCAGCAACAGUUAUUGGCGUCACAUCAGCAGCUGAAAGGAGCCAAGCAGGAGCUGGAAAAUGCCACUCUGCAAACCCAGGAGCACAAAGAAGCACUGGCCGCUCUGAAACAAGAGCACGCGGCGGUGCUGGAGAAGGCGAACGCGGUUCAAGGGCAAGUCGAGCAGUUGGAAGAGGAGCUGCGUUAUUCACAGCAACAGCUGAGAGAGUCUCAAUUAGCAUCUCGUUCAGUGCAAAAAGAGCUAGUUGAACUGGAGCGGCGCCACCAGGAAAAGGUUGGCCAGUGGGAGAGCUCACGGGAGGCUCUUGACCGGCUGACAGAUGAGCUCCAGGCCAAUCAGAACCUGCUGAGGGACAGUCGGCAUGAAGUGGAGCACUUCAAAAAUCGCACGGAGUCCCUGCGGGCGCAGGUGGACGCGCUCAAACAGCAGAAACUGAUGUUGGAGCAGGACCUGCACCUCUAUCAACAGAGUCAUUCUCAUUCUGAUGAUGAGUACCUCAGUCUGGCAAAAUGCUCUCAGCAGCUCCAACAGCACUGUAGUGAGCAGGUGGAGCGCUUUGCUGAGUGUGAAAAGACUAUUCUUCACAUGAAGUCAGAGCUGGAGCGACAGGCCGAGAAAAAGGCGAGUUUGAAGCAGAUGCUCGCGUCAUCCCACAGCGCGCACCUGAGCAGUCGCAGCAAGCUGGAACAGGAAGUGUCACAUUUGAAAAAGGAAGUAGGACGCUUAGAGCUGGAGCUGGCCGACUCCCAAAAGGUUCACGCCGACGUCCUCGGGCGAUCGGAGGAGGAGCUGAAGGGAGCCCGGCGGGAGGCUUUGAGGAGCAGCAGGGAGCUGGAAGUGCAGAGAGGCGAGGUGCAGAGGCUUCAGGCCGAGUUACGGGAGGAGGAGGACAAGUUGAGGUGUGCUGUCACCGAGAAACUGAGUCUGAGCGCCUGCGUCAGGCGGCUGAGCCAAGAAGUGGAGGAGCUCCGCAGCAAGCACCGAGUGACAGGUAGCAAUCAGUCAGUAAAUCCACCACUUACUUAUUGUGUCCAUCUGUCCCUCUAUUUACCCAUCAACCCCACGAACAAGCUUACUGUAAGUCCAUCUCUUGCAAAUGCACCUGCUCCUACAAGCAAACCACCGACGUCCCCAAUGUUCUUUCACUGUAAUUCUGUUGUUGUGCUGCUCUCAUUGUUCGCUGUCUGUGAACUUUCUCCCGUCGCCAAGCUGCACAUGUUGCAUUUCAGCAGAGCCCGCCGCGCCGCUGUUAGCUCAAU
rnacentral:lncRNA from 1 species